AAUCCAUAGGUUAAUGAGGCGAACCGGGGGAACUGAAACAUCUAAGUACCCCGAGGAAAAGAAAUCAACCGAGAUUCCCCCAGUAGCGGCGAGCGAACGGGGAGGAGCCCAGAGCCUGAAUCAGCAUGUGUGUUAGUGGAAGCGUCUGGAAAGGCGCGCGAUACAGGGUGACAGCCCCGUACACAAAAGCGCAUGUGCUGUGAGCUCGAUGAGUAGGGCGGGACACGUGGUAUCCUGUCUGAAUAUGGGGGGACCAUCCUCCAAGGCUAAAUACUCCUGACUGACCGAUAGUGAACCAGUACCGUGAGGGAAAGGCGAAAAGAACCCCGGCGAGGGGAGUGAAAAAGAACCUGAAACCGUGUACGUACAAGCAGUGGGAGCACCCUUUUGGGUGUGACUGCGUACCUUUUGUAUAAUGGGUCAGCGACUUAUAUUCUGUAGCAAGGUUAACCGAAUAGGGGAGCCGUAGGGAAACCGAGUCUUAACCGGGCGUUAAGUUGCAGGGUAUAGACCCGAAACCCGGUGAUCUAGCCAUGGGCAGGUUGAAGGUUGGGUAACACUAACUGGAGGACCGAACCGACUAAUGUUGAAAAAUUAGCGGAUGACCUGUGGCUGGGGGUGAAAGGCCAAUCAAACCGGGAGAUAGCUGGUUCUCCCCGAAAGCUAUUUAGGUAGCGCCUCGUGAAUUCAUCUCCGGGGGUAGAGCACUGUUUCGGCUAGGGGGCCAUCCCGGCUUACCAACCCGAUGCAAACUGCGAAUACCGGAGAAUGUUAUCACGGGAGACACACGGCGGGUGCUAACGUCCGUCGUGAAGAGGGAAACAACCCAGACCGCCAGCUAAGGUCCCAAAGUCAUGGUUAAGUGGGAAACGAUGUGGGAAGGCCCAGACAGCCAGGAUGUUGGCUUAGAAGCAGCCAUCAUUUAAAGAAAGCGUAAUAGCUCACUGGUCGAGUCGGCCUGCGCGGAAGAUGUAACGGGGCUAAACCAUGCACCGAAGCUGCGGCAGCGACACUGUGUGUUGUUGGGUAGGGGAGCGUUCUGUAAGCCUGUGAAGGUGGCCUGUGAGGGUUGCUGGAGGUAUCAGAAGUGCGAAUGCUGACAUAAGUAACGAUAAAGCGGGUGAAAAGCCCGCUCGCCGGAAGACCAAGGGUUCCUGUCCAACGUUAAUCGGGGCAGGGUGAGUCGACCCCUAAGGCGAGGCCGAAAGGCGUAGUCGAUGGGAAACAGGUUAAUAUUCCUGUACUUGGUGUUACUGCGAAGGGGGGACGGAGAAGGCUAUGUUGGCCGGGCGACGGUUGUCCCGGUUUAAGCGUGUAGGCUGGUUUUCCAGGCAAAUCCGGAAAAUCAAGGCUGAGGCGUGACGACGAGGCACUACGGUGCUGAAGCAACAAAUGCCCUGCUUCCAGGAAAAGCCUCUAAGCAUCAGGUAACAUCAAAUCGUACCCCAAACCGACACAGGUGGUCAGGUAGAGAAUACCAAGGCGCUUGAGAGAACUCGGGUGAAGGAACUAGGCAAAAUGGUGCCGUAACUUCGGGAGAAGGCACGCUGACACGUAGGUGAAGUGAUUUACUCAUGGAGCUGAAGUCAGUCGAAGAUACCAGCUGGCUGCAACUGUUUAUUAAAAACACAGCACUGUGCAAACACGAAAGUGGACGUAUACGGUGUGACGCCUGCCCGGUGCCGGAAGGUUAAUUGAUGGGGUCAGCGCAAGCGAAGCUCCUGAUCGAAGCCCCGGUAAACGGCGGCCGUAACUAUAACGGUCCUAAGGUAGCGAAAUUCCUUGUCGGGUAAGUUCCGACCUGCACGAAUGGCGUAAUGAUGGCCAGGCUGUCUCCACCCGAGACUCAGUGAAAUUGAACUCGCUGUGAAGAUGCAGUGUACCCGCGGCAAGACGGAAAGACCCCGUGAACCUUUACUAUAGCUUGACACUGAACAUUGAGCCUUGAUGUGUAG
rnacentral:rRNA from 1 species